rnacentral:tRNA from 1 species
ACUAGGAUCUGCUACAUAAGCAAUUGGACCCAUACCCCAAAAACGAUAAUACAAUAUCUCCCAGUA